AUUGAACGCUGGCGGCAGGCCUAACACAUGCAAGUCGAGCGGAUGAAGGGAGCUUGCUCCUGGAUUCAGCGGCGGACGGGUGAGUAAUGCCUAGGAAUCUGCCUGUUAGUUGGGGAUAACGUCCGGAAACGGGCGCUAAUACCGCAUACGUCCUGAGGGAGAAAGUGUGGGAUCUUCGGACCUUACGCUAUCAGAUGAGCCUAGGUCGGAUUAGCUAGUUGGCGGGGUAAAGGCCUACCAAGGCGACGAUCCGUAACUGGUCUGAGAGGAUGAUCAGUCACACUGGAACUGAGACACGGUCCAGACUCCUACGGGAGGCAGCAGUGGGGAAUAUUGGACAAUGGGCGAAAGCCUGAUCCAGCCAUGCCGCGUGUGUGAAGAAGGUCUUCGGAUUGUAAAGCACUUUAAGUUGGGAGGAAGAGCAGUAAGUUAAUACCUUGCUGUUUUGACGUUACCAACAGAAUAAGCACCGGCUAACUUCGUG
rnacentral:rRNA from 1 species